rnacentral:lncRNA from 1 species
UAUAGAUUGAGAGAAAUGACUUUCAAAAUUAACAUUCCAGCAGACCCCAGCAUAAUAGAUACAUUCAUUCCUGGUGUAUCUGCAUGGAAAUCAAAGGAGAUACAUCAUGUUUGAAUCCGGGUUUUUAUUUUUAGAACACGCAGCACAUUUGCGGCGCGCGGCUCCGAGCACGGAGGGAGAGAGGGGACAGCCCCACACCCAGCCAGGGAACCACCCUGGGGCUGGGGGUCUCUGCAAACCCAGGGCCAGCAAAAGAGGAUGGGUUUGGGAAGGUGUUUGGGUGCCUGGAAACUGAGGCCAGCUUUGAUUUUUUUGUUAAAGAAAGCCUCUCGUAGGCAAUGUUUGGAAGAUGAAGGAACAUGCUUUGGAGGAAAAUCAAGUCAGGAAGAGCCCAAAUCGUUCCCAGCAGGUAGAGUGAUCUCUGCAGAGAUGUUCCAGAGUUUUCCAACUGGACUGAGGCAUGCUGGGCAUUGAAAAAUAUGAUUUCUUCCACCUGAGCUAUUGAACAGACGUGAUAAAAACACCAACUGCAGCACAAUGUCCUUUAUGUUGCCUCGAAGGAAUGUGCCAUUAAAAUGAUGUUAGAAAUAUUCUUCAAAAGCAGCUAAAAAAUCUGCACUUGGGGCUGCAAUGCCAUCCACAAGUUUUCCAUUGCUCCUGUCUCCUGAUGUUCAAUUCAUCCUGCAAAGCAAAUCCUGGCUGGUGUAUGUCCUCAUUAGGAUGCAGGAUGAAGAGAAAUGCAUCAAAAUGCAUAAACACACCUUAGAAAUGCCUCUGAAAGUGUCUGGAAAUCACUUUGUCCUGCAGCACUGGCAAGUGUCCACCAUCUCCUUG